GAUGAAGAACGUAGCGAAAUGCGAUAAGUAAUGUGAAUUGCAGAAUUCAGUGAAUCAUCGAAUCUUUGAACGCACAUUGCGCCCAUUAGUAUUCUAGUGGGCAUGCCUGUUCGAGCGUCAUUUCAACCCUUAAGCCUAGCUUAGUAUUGGGAAUCGACUUUACUGUCGUUCCUCAAAUUCAACGGCGGAUUUAUAGCAAUCUCUGAACGUAGUAAUUUUUUUUCUCGUUUUUGAAAUACUAUAAACCUCAGCCGCUAAACCCCCAAUUUCUUAUGGUUGACCUCGGAUCAGGUAGGAAUACCCGCUGAACUUAAGCAUAUCGAUAAGCGGAGGA
rnacentral:misc_RNA from 1 species